rnacentral:lncRNA from 1 species
AAAAAUCCGUCAGAAUACCCCUUCCUCCAAAAGAUUGCAGGGUCUUCAAGGGGGCUAUAAGUCUGGAAAAAGUUGAAGGGGCCAAAGCAGGGAGCUAAAAGCGCGCGGCUCCUUUAAAAGGCUGCCUCUGCAGGCUCAGCUCCCUCCUCCAGCCACCCUCCUUGUCGGGGCUCCCUCUGUGAUUGACACAGAAAGAGAGGAGGCGCCUGGUGCUAACAAAAGUCUGAGCCACUGGAGAGCAGCGUAGGGCCGUGGGUCUCCUUCUCAGGGAACCAGCAACAAGUGGCUUGUAGCGGCACUUUCCCUUAGGAAGAAGUGCAUCGAGAGCGCUGGGACCGAAGGAGCGAGGCAGUUCUUCCUCUUCGCCCUCAGAAGCCUGAAGGGGAUGUCCUUGCCUGCCUAGCCCUGGGAUGCUGGAAGCUGCAUCUACAGAUUCCUCUAGUACCGCUGCCUGACCCUGAGUGUGGAUUAUUAAGUGGAGCUGCGACCCCUCGGGUUAUCUUUCUUGCAAAAAAAUAGAAAGGAGAAAAAGAAAGAAAAGAAAAGAAAAAAGCAAGGAGUGGAAAAGAGCAAGUCCAUCUGGAGAACCUACGGAGGGGGGGCAUUGCCCUCCCAGAGAUGGUCCUUGUUUAGGGGUUCUGAAGUAUGUCAAAGUAAUCGUUCGGGAUAGGAGGGUUCACUUGCCCGCUUUCGUCGCCCCCUGGUUGCCUAAGAACCGCGUCUUGGCUGGUUAGACAUGGUGUGUACUGGGAGAAGGAGAGUAUGAAGCCUGCAGGAUGGGAGCGAACAAUGGCAAACAGUACGGCAGUGAGGGCAAAGGCAGCUCAAGCAUCUCAUCCGACGUGAGUUCAAGUACAGAUCACACGCCGACCAAAGCUCAAAAGAAUGCAGCUACCAGUGAAGAGUGCCUUUCCUGGUUACCUUCUCAGAGGGAGAAGACUCACCGAGAUGAGUGAUCUGUGCAUCUUGCCCUACAAGAGCCUCAUCUGUCCAUUGAGUGAGUUUCUUGCUCCAGGUUUAAGUUACAUGUGUGGUGCUCCAGGCAGUCAUACUAAGUGCAGGACUGUGUCUACAGAUCCUGCCAAAGAAAGCAGACUUACUUGAACAUUGGAAUCAGGAGAUGAAAUAAAUGCAUCUCAGCUAUGAAAAACA